rnacentral:tRNA from 1 species
GCCUCCGUGGCGCAAUGGAUGAGCGCGUUGGACUUCUAAUUCAAAGGUUGUGGGUUCGACUCCCACCGGAGGUG